GCCGUGUAAGAGCAGCUGAGGGCACAAUUCAUUCACUUCUCCUCGGGAUCAGCCCUGGAGCUCCCCACUGCUCUCCCCUGAGCCUCCCAAAGAGCCCGGAGGAGCCUGGAGGAGCCUGGAGGAGGAACUGCUCUGCCACGGGACAGCUGCAGGCCCACAGGUCACAGGCUGAACGAUCACAUUCCAGAGGUGCAGGGGGAAGCAGGGGACGCUGCUUUAUGCCCACAGUCUGUGCUGAAAUGAUGGCAGAAAUGCCUCACAAUAAUCUGUGCUGCAAAGCCCUGCCUGGGCUGGGAGGUGUCACCCCAAAUCCUCUGCCUGUGCCCACCCAGGGACAAUCCUCAGAGCUCUCCCCCAGCUCGUUUGUCUUGUCCUCUUCACGUGGCAGAUGGAGAAGACAAAACUCCGAGGAGCCUCAUUUGUCAUCCCUGGAGUUCACCUGCACCAGCCAAAAGGGCCCAGAUUCCCCCAAAUCCACAGCAGCACACUCACAGCGAGGCAACGCUGCUUCCAUCCCGCUCUCCUUGUAAAAAUUGAUUGAAUUUGUCUGAUUUCUCCCUCUGAUUCCUCUUGAGAAGAGUCACAAACCAUUCUCCUCCUCAGA